GGGGGUAUAGCCAAGUAAUAGAGUAUAUGCUUAGCAAGCACAAGGUCCUGGGUUCGAUCCCCAGUACUUCCA
rnacentral:tRNA from 1 species